GUCAUGCUUGCCAUGAACACCUUUAUUAAGCGGCUCUUAGCUGUUGCAAAUCCAGAAGAAAUGAAGACAAGUAUAACAGAGACUAGUGCACCAGAACUUGCCAAACUGCUUUAUUGGCUGAUGGUGGUUGGGUACAGUAUUCGCAACAUUGAAGUUCGUUUUGAUAUGGAUCGGGUACUUGGGACACCUCCGAAGCUUGCAGAAUUACCUCUGGGAGAAAACAUUUGAUCACUUGCACUGAAGUAUCGACAAUUGAUGUCAGGACAAGGGUAGAGUGCAAUAAUUUAGUGCUGGAUUUACUAUGUAACUAAGCUGGUGCAGUUUUGUGUUCCACAUGGAUUGAAGCAGCAGAAGGCUUAUUGCAG
rnacentral:misc_RNA from 1 species